rnacentral:rRNA from 1 species
AGAGUUUGAUUCUGGCUCAGAACGAACGCUGGCAGCGUGGAUUAGGCAUGCAAGUCGAACGAGAAUCUAUUUGUUCAAUCCUUCGGGAGAGAACAUUUAGAGGACAGUGGCGGAAGGGUGAGUAAUGCGUGGGUAAUCUACCCCUGAGUUGGGGACAACCCGGCGAAAGCGGGGCUAAUACCGAAUGUGGUCUCUUGUCGCAUGGCGAGAUGACUAAAGGUGGGGAUCCUUCGGGACCUGCCGCUUAGGGAGGAACCCACGUCCUAUCAGCUUGUUGGUGAGGUAACGGCUCACCAAGGCUUACGGGUAGCUGGUCUGAGAGGAUGGUCAGCCACACUGGGACUGAGACACUGCCCAGACUCCUACGGGAGGCUGCAGUCGAGGAUCAUUCGCAAUGCGCGAAAACGUGACGAUGCGACGCUGCGUGGGGGAUGACGGCCUUCGGGUUGUAAACUCCUGUCGUUUGGGAGCAAUUGUACAGAGGCUAAUACCCUUUGUAUUCGAUAGUACCAAAAAAGGAAGCCACGGCUAACUCUGUGCCAGCAGCCGCGGUAAUACAGAGGUGGCAAGCGUUGUUCGGAUUUACUGGGCGUAAAGGGUGUGUAGGCGGCAUUAUAAGUCGAUUGUGAAAUCUCACUGCUCAAAGGUGAAAGUGCGAUCGAUACUGUAAAGCUAGAGUACAGGAGAGGAGAGCGGAAUUCUUGGUGUAGCGGUGGAAUGCGUUGAUAUCAAGAAGAACACCAGCGGCGAAGGCGGCUCUCUGGAAUGUUACUGACGCUGAUACACGAAAGCUGGGGGAGCAAACAGGAUUAGAUACCCUGGUAGUCCCAGCUGUAAACGGUGUGCAUUUGGUGUGGGGGGAUUUGACCCCCUCCGUGCCGGAGCUAACGCGUUAAAUGCACCGCCUGGGGAGUACGGCCGCAAGGUUAAAACUCAAAGAAAUUGACGGGGGCCCGCACAAGCGGAGGAGCAUGUGGCUUAAUUCGAUGCUACGCGAAGAACCUUACCAGGGCUUGACAUGGCGACCCUUCGGGGGUGGGAGUGAAAGUUCCCUUUACGAUCACAGGUGCUGCAUGGCUGUCGUCAGUUCGUGCCGUGAGGUGUUGGGUUAAGUCCCGCAACGAACGCAACCCUUGUGUCUAGUUGCCACCGCAGGUGAUGAGCCUGCGAGCACUCUAGACAGACCGCCCGUGUAAGCGGGAGGAAGGUGGGGAUGACGUCAAGUCAGUAUGGCCUUUAUGUCCUGGGCUGCACACGUGCUACAAUGGUCGGUAUAAUGGGAAGCAAUACCGCGAGGUGGAGCCAAUCCUCAAAGCCGGCCCCAGUUCGGAUUGGAGUCUGCAAUUCGACUCCAUGAAGUUGGAUUCGCUAGUAAUGGCGCAUCAGCUACGGCGCCGUGAAUAUGUUCCCGGGCCUUGUACACACCGCCCGUCACAUCAUGAAAGCUUUCUGCACCCGAAGUCACAGAUCCAACCUGCUAUUCGUAGGGGGAAGGUGCCGAAGGUGUGGGAAGUGAUU